ensembl:lncRNA
AUGACAGAAGAUCUCCUUGAUGCGACCGAUGCGGAACGGCUCGGGAGCAUCCAGAGUGACUCCAGCGAGUUUGAUGAGGUCUCUCAUGCAGGGAGUGACGAUGAUGGGCUGCUCAUCCGAGUCGCCGGCCUCGUCGUAGCUCUCCACCUGUUCCACCACGAACUGGGCGUGACGCAGCAGAGUGUCUUCAGUGAAGCAGUUGAAGUUCAGUCCUGCAGGAGGGACUGUUGUCUGGAAGACGAAAAACAAGAUUGUCUUUUAGGAUUUGACUUUUGCAAAAAAAAAAAAAAAAGGGAAAUCUUUCAUGGUGAAACGUCAGAGCGCACCUCGAUUUUGUUGAGGAGAUCUUCAUAAGUCACAUCUGGGUUUUUCUGGAGGAAUUCCACCACUAUUUUGCUCAUGUAGAUCUUCUCCUGCAUCAGUGCGAAAAUGGGGGCGUACUCCUCACUGGGCUGCAUCAAGAUGUAAUCCGCAAAAGCUGCACAAAAAGGUUUACAUUAGUGUGCAAACACUGAAAAUGUUUUAAGUGAAAACUAUUUUGUUACCUGUAGUGAAACCAAUUAGAGCUUUUUCUCCUCCGUCAAAACCCGUGAUCCACCAGGCGUUGAUCGGUCCGAGCUUCUUAGCAGGAACUCCACCUGAGACAAAGAGAUUAUUUUUCAUCAAAAGAAAAAAGUUGAAGUAACAAUAAAAUAAAAAGUAUUAAGUAUUAGUGUUUGACAUGAAACAUUUCCUACCAUCCAAGCAAGGAUUGUCAUCAUAGAUGGGUUUAACGGCACAGCUGAAGUAAAGCUCCACGUUCUUCUCAAUCAGUCCGGAAUCAAACGGACACAGAUGGCCGCGCUUAUCAUACACGCUGGAAGGGAAAAAAAUCAUGCUAUUAGCCAUGCAAAAUGUUGGUAGAAAAACAAUUAACGUUCAAACACCUUUAUUAGGUCAACACCAUUUAACAAGAAGAGUAAUACGCCCCCUAGCUGCAGGGGGUAAUAUUUCAACAGAGAAAACUUGGUAACACAAAAUACUAAGUUCUACAGAAAGAAAAAUAUGGUGGUAAAAAUGAAGAGAAAAAAAAUUAAAUUGUAUACCUGAAAUUAGUGAUUCUGUGUUGUGGCAGAUCAUCGUAGCUCUCAAACCCGUCCUCAUUCGAGUCGAACAGGGACAGACGCUCAUCUGUUAACAUCUCAGGUUCGUCGAGCUGAUAAAGGUAAAGAAAACCGAUCAGGAAAAAUAACAUUUUUUUCCCAAUUCAUGAGCUGGAAAUUCUUACAGCAUUAUCAGGAUCUCCUUGGAAGAACUUCAGGUCUGAGUCGUCCAAAAAUUGUCUGCAAUCUUGACAUUUAGGGGGUGGUGUCUAAAAAAAGACAACAAAUAAAUAAAUCAAGUUAAGACAGUUUGCUUUGUGGAAAAACAAAAACAGCAGUUCUUUGUAUUGAAUACCUUUGCAACAGAUACAGGCUUUGCUGUGUCAUUCUUAUUAUCUUCUGCAGCAGGACUACAGUAGGAGAAGAGUAUGUUAGUUUACCCGACAUAAAGGUCAACACAAGAUGAUCAGCAAAAACUAGUUACUUUUCAUCAGACUCCACUUUGAGGCGCUUCUUCUCUUGACACUAAAAUGCAACAAAAAUAAAAAACUCAAUUAUAACAGACAAUGAAGUCCACACCAACUGCAGACAUUGAUGCAUUACCUCAUCAGCAUCCUCCUCUUUCUUCACUUCAUCUUUUCCAUUGACAGUUUCUUCGGCCAUUUCAUCAGACUUGCGCUUCUGACUGCAAAAUAAAAAAUUAUACAUUUAGAUAAUUCCACUUUUUUAAUAUGUAUUUGAGCUUCCAAUAAAAAAAAAACUUAAACUCACACUUUGGAGAACAUUGACAGGAUGGUUGGCUGUUUUCCACUAUUCCUGGUGACUCUGGCACUUGCAGGAGAUUCUAGAAACAAAUGUGUAAAUAGUUAUUCAAAUAAUGCAAUUUUUUAAGAUCCAUGACUUCAUUAUAAAAGGAAACACCGACUUUUUGAAUUCCCAUUGGACUUGACCCUGCGUCCAGCCUUCCCUUUGGAAGCAGGCGGUGAUUUGACAUCAUCUGCACCCAUAGCUUCUUCCUCCAGCUCGUCUUCGUGAGAGCCAUUCGAGAAGCCAUUUGUUUUUCCAACUUGAGCGUCAUCAUCAAGGUGAAGUUCUUUUCCCAACAAGGCCUUAACUUUUGAUAUGUAGACCUCCUAAAAAAAAAAAAAAAAAAAAAAAAAAAAGAAGACGUAAGCAAGCGCCCAAGCAACAGACGUAAUAAUUAUAUUGACAUAGGAGGCUGUAAACAACCUUUGAGAUCUCAGAACUUUUCAUCUCUUUUUCAAGACUGGUCAACUGGGUCUGGGCAUCAUCAUGCAGAAAGUCCUGGACCAACUUCAGCUUCUCUUUGACUUGAUCCUGAAAUAGAAAAAUGCAUUGUUCGGUUUUCAGAUCAAAACAAUCAUCUUAAAGUAAAACUUAAAAAGUUAUGCCAUGACAGUUGAAAAAGACAACUU